rnacentral:rRNA from 1 species
UGGGGAAUAUUGGACAAUGGGGGGAACCCUGAUCCAGCGACGCCGCGUGAGUGAAGAAGUAUUUCGGUAUGUAAAGCUCUAUCAGCAGGGAAGAAAGAAAUGACGGUACCUGACUAAGAAGCCCCGGCUAACUACGUGCCAGCAGCCGCGGUAAUACGUAGGGGGCAAGCGUUAUCCGGAUUUACUGGGUGUAAAGGGAGCGUAGACGGCGAUGCAAGUCUGAAGUGAAAGGCGGGGGCCUAACCCCCGGACUGCUUUGGAAACUGUAUGGCUGGAGUGCAGGAGAGGUAAGUGGAAUUCCUAGUGUAGCGGUGAAAUGCGUAGAUAUUAGGAGGAACACCAGUGGCGAAGGCGGCUUACUGGACUGUAACUGACGUUGAGGCUCGAAAGCGUGGGGAGCAAAC